rnacentral:lncRNA from 1 species
CGCUCCUCCCUCUCCCGGACUCGCCUGGGCUGCCCGGCGCCGGAGGACUACUCAACCUGAGUGCCCUGCGAGCCCCUUGAGGGACUCCCCUAGGGGAGGAAAACCGGUCACCCUGGAGGCUAAAGUGGUGAGCGUGCUGCUGGCGGGGCCCGGUCAGCGCCUGCCAUGGGGACCUGGCGCGUGCGGUGAGCUGCGGGGCGUGCGGCCGACUCCCGGCUGGCGGGUGGCCCUGGGCCCGCUGGGCGAGUCCCCUCCCUGCUGGAGACUCCAGGGGCUUCUCAGGGAAAUCCCCGCAGCUCCCCGCCCCAGAGGGCGCUGAGCGCGAGAGGGCAUCAGGUGGAGGCUGGAAUCUGCCGCCGCCGCAGGGGUCAGCAGUGUCCUGGGCCCUCUUUGCUCCCCAGGAGUCACCUGUGCAUCCUCCAAACACAUAUCAUUUCACAUGUACAGGAAGCAGGAUCACAAACCCACUUUCCCGUCCCCCAUCCUCUCUUCUCCUAGGGCUAUCUUUAAAAAUCCAGUUUCUCCCUGCAUUUCAAGAUUCCAAUUUCCCUUUUAGUUGACAGCAUUGUGAACUGUUUGUUCCCCACGGUGCAUCCAAGGGGACACAGUAUUGUAAUUGUCAUGUUUUUUUUUUUUUCACUGAUUGAUGACAAUUUUCAAAAGAUUUAUUUUCUGUUGGUGAAUGUUUUCCAUGAGAAGAAAGCAGAGAACAAUAACCUGGAAUUGCACUAUAAAAAGUCUUGUGCCCUUUUCCUUUAUGCUCCCUAGGCACCUGAUGUCAUCGUCUUUGAGACUUGAGGAUGUGUUGGAUGUCUCCUGAAUUCAAAAAAUGAAAUCCACAGGCACAAAGGGUGAGAGCCAAGUAAAGGGAUUUAUUAGAUAUGAGACCGUGGAGCUCCCACUGGGGGAGGGGUCCUAGGAGAGCUGCUGCAGCCUAGGAGUUUAUGUAAGAUCAGAGGGGAGUUGAGUGGCCUCAAAGACCCCAGGUUGGAGAUUUUAAAGGAGAGGGUCUUUGAGUCCAGUCACCCCAGGGCACUAGCUCUAGAGAUGUCAAGAAGUCACACUAGUAUACCUGCCUUGAGGCCAGGCUCAGUGGGCACGAGCUUCACUCUUUAGUCUCUCCUAAUAUGAAAGCUUUUCUCCAACCUGGUAGGGAACACAUCUAACAGCUGGGGAAGCCAGUGCUGGCUGGGACAUGAGGAUGCUUCAGUGACAUUAGGGACACACACCACAGCACACACCUCCCAAAACCACAUCACACACCUCCCAAAACCACAUCACAGCGCACACCACAGCACUGACCUCCCAGGACCACACCAUAGUAAGAAAUGCCACAAGACCUUCAGUUGUUCUAGAUCCUUUCAGACACAUGACAGAAGUCAUUAGUGAGAGAAAGAUGAGAAGUGCAUGGAAAGUGGGAAUGCCUUCAUUUCCCUGCGACAUUCAGAGGUUCAGGAUGAUGCACCCAGAAGAUGUGUGUAUUAGCUUGACCUUAAGGUGUGAAAACACAUUGAUUUUCUGGGUUAAAUCUCUCAUCUUGUAGUGUAAGUCUCUAUUCAUAGUUUGUUUUCUAUUGUUUUAUUGAGAAUUUUUGUAUCUUGGCAAAGAGAUUUAUGUACACUGAUAUGUAGUAUAGCAUUAUGUAUACGUGGAGUAUAUAUAUGUGCAUAUACCUGUGUGUGUGUAUGCUAUAUAGGUUACAGUACAGUUUUGUAAGUAAAUAGUGUGUAUUACAUAAAACUAUUUUAUAUGAUAGUGUAAUUAAGCACUAUGUAAUUAGUAUAGUACAUAGUAUUUUACAGCACAUAUUAUAGUAUUAAAUUCUUAUUGAUCUGUAGUAUAAGGUGUUUCCAUUUCCUUCUAACCAGCCCUGUUUGAAACCACAUAUUUUGAGGAAACCAAGAGCACCUCACUUUGAUGUUUCUGCAAAGCUUUGCCCCUUGCCCACUGUUCUCUCUGCAUCCAAUGACAAUCCCUCUGUGGGCCCGGAUGGCUUCCUGUCCCCUCCUCUGCUUAACUCUGUGUGUAUAUAAUACAGUUUCAUUUUUCUUAUGUGUCCAGUGGGGGUGUUACGUGUUUGUCCAAGUCACCCUGGGUGCUAAUUCAUUUAUAGCUAGUGGUGUGAAUGGGAGGCUGUUAGAAACCUUUGCAGCAUAAACAGAAUGGAGCGAACAUGAAUGAAAAUAGCUGCUCAGCUUUUACUAAUUGCUCUUGGUGACUGGUUCCAUGGUACAGAGAAACCCACCUGCGUAGCACCUGCACUUUUUGAUGGGUUUGGCUUUGGUCGGCCCACAGUUACUGAUUUGUACCUGGUGUUGCCAUUUCUCCCCUCACAUGAGUACUCACAUCCCCUACACAUAAUGGUUCACUGGCUUUACCCACUGAAUGCCUUCCUCCCUCAAGGCAGUGAAAAGAACAGCUACCCAACGAGUGCUUUAGUCCUGAUUAACAAGAGACAGGCUAAAGCUCUGUGGACCCUGCAUUUAAUUUGGGAACCAUUACUAAUUGCUUGGGAUACUUCUGGGAGAGGCCCAGGGAUGGUCCUUUGUGAAGUUUGAGAAAGAAGGGGAUACUCACCUUGAGAAGAACUAAGUAUAUCACCUAGUUUCUUGCAGUUAUCAUGGAGCAGGCAAGAGUAGGGGCCUUGCUGGUCUCUCGUGUGCUGAUCCCCUUACAGCAGUAGUGUGCACCCUUCUGUUGAGGGGCACAUCCAUGAUGCCUGAUGGUCUAAGUGCUGAUAGGUAAUGCAUGAGGCAUUAGCCCCUCGUGAAAUCUGGGAGGAGUAUCUCAACCAUUCAUGCAGCAGAAAACCCCUCACCAGUGUGUGAGUUUUCCUUAGCACUAAUGCUUGUCAGCAUGCCAAAGUCUCAUGGAAGAAGGCUUGCUGGCCUUAGAAAAAUGACUUACGGCAAGUGGGUAUUAACCUACACAAAAAUAAGUCUCAUUAAUUGAAGGCUGAAGUGGUGUCUUCCAGUGUGGGUUGCUGGGCUUCUGGAUUCUUCCCCUUAGCCACACACAUGAGCACUAGCAGUGAUCAGAUAGAGACAGUACUGGGGAAGCCUGCAAGUUUGCAUCAGUGGAAACCCAAAAUGUCAUAAAUCCCUGUGGGUUGGGAAGGGAAAAGUGUCAUGUGCAGUGAUCAGAUCUAGGAACCCAGCACCUGAUGGCUUGGCUCUCCAAGACCCAGGAGUUGUACUGCCAUGGCCACUACUGCCUGUGCCUCUGUCUCAACAAGUGUCCUGGUACCUCUGUGUAGGUGGCUCUCCAGACAUCUUGGACCAAUGCGGUUCUUCCUUAUAGUUCUCAAGAGAAAACAAAGAGGGGAUGGGUAUAUAACUCCACAAUGGAUCCCUUUCUUCACAUGGGAGAGGCCUUAUGUUCAAUCCCCAGUACUGCAAAACAGUAAAACAACAAUAAAAGAGCAAGUGUAGCUGAGCACGGUGGUGCAUGUCUGUAAUCCCAGUGGCUUGUGAGGCUGAGGCAAGAAGAUCGUGGGUUCAAAGCCAGCCUCCACAACUCAUUGAGGACCUAUGCAACUCAAUAAGACCCUGUCUCAAAAUAAAAAAUAAAAAGGGCUAGGGAUAUGGCUUGGUUGUUAAGUGCCCCUGGGUUCAAUCCCUGGUACUAAAGAGCUCCAGCAACUGGACGUGAUGGAUUAUUCAGGGUCAGUGUGGCCAAAGUUUCUUAGGACUGGGAGAAUGUGGGCUCCAUGGCUUGGGAGUGCUGGCCCAGGGGUGUAAUAGGCUCCACUUUGUGUCUGAGUGUCAACCUUGCUGCUUGCUCAUGGGAACAUUGCCCCUUCCUGUUUUUCUCUCCCACUUCAUGGCUGUAGGGAGAGCAGGUGAGCCUCCACUGUCCUGAGCUGAACUGCCUGCCCUUUUCCUUACUGCCUACCCUACUGCCCAGCUGCAGACCUGGAAAUGGGCAACUGCUCUCUUGAGGAUGAGGACCAUCCCUGAGUACAUCCUCUGACAGUUCCUGGAAAACAGCAGCUAGGGGGCAGCCUCAGGUAGCGUCAGCCUGAGGCCUCCCUCCUUCACCAGCAAGGCAAGAGAACUUGUCCUCCGCAAGGAUCAGCACUGGGAUGAGGACCGAGCUUUCAGUGUUAAGUUCACAACUCCAUCCAUUUCAUGAGCUUUAAUCCACCAGUGACUUUGAUUUGACUUGGUGUGAUUGUGGCCAUCACAGGUUCUUCUACUCUAUUUGAAUGUCAGUUGUUACCAUGUCUGAUACUCUGGUCACACUGUACACAUACACGUCCACACACCACGCUCUACAGGAAGGCUAAGAAAGGGUUGCAGUGGCCAGGUUCCAAGAGACCUUAUGAAGAGCAGAGAGCAGAUGCAAAUACAGGAUGACCUAUCAGGUGGUCAGAGAACGGCUUAUCAACCCAGGAGCUGCCAAGGGGCAGCUGCCAAGCAGGUGGCUUUACUGGACAGCUUCAGGGUCAGCUGUGAGUGUCUGCUUACAGUGGGCCAUGCCUCAGAGGAGGAGCCAGGACAGGGGAGGGCUAUGUGGAAAUCCCCUCUGUUGGUUUGUCACUUUUCUGGUAUUUAUUUUGGCUGGGCACAAAAUAACCGAGCUGCCACGAGGCACUUGUAGGUUUAAAACAGGAACUCCUUUUUUCUCCAAACUCCCACCAACCGGAAAUCCCUCCUCUGGCACUUCCCCAACCAACGUGAACCCUCCAGGAAUCCCCGCAAGAACUCCAAAGCAGCGGGCGCCCCAUUGCCCGACAGUAAAGGUCAAAUAUACAAUACAAUCAAUCCAGCAUCACAGCAAUUAUAUAUAGCUUAACUCAAAUCAUCAUCUUAAUGGUUCGCUGGCGGUCACCUUUCAAACAUUCCCUCUGGCAAAUGCCAGGCGUCAUUCUAACUGGGCAGUGGCUCUCAACAAAAUUAGUUUAAGAUAAAGUUGAUGAAACUUAGGACAAGGUUUGUGUCUGCCGUUGGCAGGUGUGGUGACUGGAGGGGACUCAUGGGUUCUGAAAAGUGCCUUUGUUCCUGGAUGGACCAUCGGGUGCAUCUGGUAGUCAGUAAGCAUGAACCUUGUUCCUGCACAUCCCAU